CAGACGAAUGAAGAAAAAGUGUUACGUUGUUUGAUUUUGUGAUUGUUUAAAGAGCAGAAUUAUACUAGUUAAAAAAACGAGUGUUUAUAAUUUACGCCAUAGGUCCCUCGCUAUUAUUGUCAUGAACUUGGGAAAAUUUCUUCUUCUCUUUGCUGUUGGGAAAUCUGCUGAGAAUGGAUCUGUUUACAUUCAAUUCAAAAUCUAACUUCAUUUUUAUUGACCAUAUUGACAUUUCUUUUCUUUUUCAUCAAGUUACCCUACCGAACAGGACAACAAACAUGACAUGCACGUCAAAUGGUGGAACAAAGUAUGGAGUGUCUCAUCCAAAUCAGCAAAUUUAAAUUUUCUCUUGUGAUAUCAGGACUUACAAAGAUUUUACAGAGGGUCAAUGAAUCAAGAACACAUGGUCCUGACUAUGAGAAAAAUUAUUAUGAAUCAUUGCUAAUUGUAUUAGAAACUUUAGAGAAAUUCCUAAGUGGCCAACCAAAAGAUACAACAAGAUUUGAUGAAGCCAUGAAUGUUAAACUGUUACUGCGAUAAAUCUGCCAAUUAAUUGUUUUGCCAAAUGAAAAUCCACACUCACCACCAACUUUUCACUAUGUCCUUGUUGCUUCCCUCUACAG